GUUUCGGUACAAAAAGUGCACAGUUCUGUUUCACUAUAUUUACACUUCAUUAGUAAAGUAUUUGUUCCUAGAAUUCUAUGGAGUAAUCUGUAUUGAAAUGCCCUUAAUGUGGGAUCUUCAGUUAUAAUUAAAGGAAGACUAAAAAAAUAAUUCCAUUCUUCGGCCACAAUAUCUAUUCCCAAUUUCAUUUUCCAUUUCUCUUGUAUGCGUGAUGGGGUUUCCUUUAUUUUAUCUAGAAAAAAUUUAUACAAAUGUUUUGAUACUUUAUCAACUGUUUUAAUGGCGGUAACAAUUUUGUGACUGACAGUAUUUAGUUUGAUAAAUACUUGAGAAUGAAUAACAUUCUUCCAUUCCUUUGGCAGUGCCAAGAUUAGUCCAUAGAAAUCUAAGAAAGUUGUUUUUAUAUUAUAAUUUCUAAUAAAUUCAUCAUAAUUGUAAAAUUCUCCAUUUUCCUUAAUGAGAUCAUUUAUGAAAAAUACAUUAUUC
rnacentral:lncRNA from 1 species